rnacentral:tRNA from 1 species
GGCUCGUUGGUCAAGAGGUUAAGCCACCGCCCUUUCACGGCGGGAACAGGGGUGCAAUUCCCCUACGAGUCACCA